AAACUUUAGAAGAUUCACCUCUGAGAUUUGCUGGAGUGAUCUUUUUUUAUCAAGAGCUGCUGUGCACUCAUCCUUGGCGCAGAGGGCAGCUGAGCAGGGCAGCACAUGGCAGAGCUGUUCUGACCACUCCGGGUUCUCUGCCUUAGCUGGGCAGGGCUGGAGGCACAGGGACCAGGUUGUGCUGAGAGAAUGCUUCCUCACAGAGCACUCAGGAGUAUUUCUGUUGCAGUAUUGCUUCCUUCGCACCCCUUAUAUUGCCCUGUUCUAGGAUCAACCUCGUGAAACUUCUGACUUGCUGGAGCAUGGCCCAAAGAGUAGCCAACACCCCAUUGUCCACACCUGCAUUCAGCUUAGAGUUCACUUGCUGCAUCAUUCAUCCACAAACCUCAGCUUCCAGUUGUUAAGGCCCUGCUACCAGCAUCACGGACGGAGGAAACAUAAACGUGCAGUAAGG
rnacentral:lncRNA from 1 species